GAUGAAGAACGCAGCGAAAUGCGAUAAGUAAUGUGAAUUGCAGAAUUCAGUGAAUCAUCGAGUCUUUGAACACACAUUGCGCCCCCUGGUAUUCCGGGGGGCAUGCCUGUCCGAGCGUCAUUGCUGCCCUCAAGCACGGCUUGUGUGUUGGGCCCCGCCCCCCGGCUCCCGGGGGGCGGGCCCGAAAGGCAGCGGCGGCACCGCGUCCGGUCCUCGAGCGUAUGGGGCUUCGUCACCCGCUCCGUAGGCCCGGCCGGCGCCCGCCGGCGACCCCCCUCAAUCUUUUCAGGUUGACCUCGGAUCAGGUAGGGAUACCCGCUGAACUUAAGCAUAUCAAUAAGCGGAGGA
rnacentral:misc_RNA from 1 species